rnacentral:rRNA from 1 species
UACGGAGGUCCCAAGCGUUGUUCGGAUUCAUUGGGCGUAAAGGGUGCGUAGGCGGCGCGGUAAGUCGGGUGUGAAAUCUCGGGGCUUAACUCCGAAACUGCAUUCGAUACUGCCGUGCUUGAGGACUGGAGAGGAGACUGGAAUUUACGAUGUAGCGGUGAAAUGCGUAGAUAUCGUAAGGAAGACCAGUGGCGAAGGCGGGUCUCUGGACAGUACCUGACGCUGAGGCACGAAGGCCAGGGGAGCAAACGGG